GGUGGCGUAGCUCAGUCGGUAGAGCAAACGGCUCAUAUCCGUUCGGUCGGGGGUUCAAAUCCCUCCGCCACUACCU
rnacentral:tRNA from 1 species